UCCCGUGUGGCUCAGUUGGUAGAGCAUGGUGUUUGCAACGCUAGGGUUGGAGGUUUGAUUCCCACGGGGG
rnacentral:tRNA from 1 species